GUAGAUAUAGUUUUAACCAAAACAUUAGAUUGUGAUUCUAAAAACAGAGGUUAAAGUCCUCUUAUCCACC
rnacentral:tRNA from 1 species